rnacentral:rRNA from 1 species
GGGUUGUGAGGUUAAGCGACUAAGCGUACACGGUGGAUGCCCUGGCAGUCAGAGGCGAUGAAGGGCGUGCUAAUCUGCGAUAAGCGCCGGUAAGGUGAUAUGAACCGUUAUAACCGGCGAUACCCGAAUGGGGAAACCCAGUGUGACUCGUCACACUAUCAUUAACUGAAUCCAUAGGUUAAUGAGGCGAACCGGGGGAACUGAAACAUCUAAGUACCCCGAGGAAAAGAAAUCAACCGAGAUUCCCCCAGUAGCGGCGAGCGAACGGGGAGGAGCCCAGAGCCUGAAUCAGCAUGUGUGUUAGUGGAAGCGUCUGGAAAGGCGCGCGAUACAGGGUGACAGCCCCGUACACAAAAGCGCAUGUGCUGUGAGCUCGAUGAGUAGGGCGGGACACGUGGUAUCCUGUCUGAAUAUGGGGGGACCAUCCUCCAAGGCUAAAUACUCCUGACUGACCGAUAGUGAACCAGUACCGUGAGGGAAAGGCGAAAAGAACCCCGGCGAGGGGAGUGAAAAAGAACCUGAAACCGUGUACGUACAAGCAGUGGGAGCACCCUUUGGGGUGUGACUGCGUACCUUUUGUAUAAUGGGUCAGCGACUUAUAUUCUGUAGCAAGGUUAACCGAAUAGGGGAGCCGCAGGGAAACCGAGUCUUAAUUGGGCGUUAAGUUGCAGGGUAUAGACCCGAAACCCGGUGAUCUAGCCAUGGGCAGGUUGAAGGUUGGGUAACACUAACUGGAGGACCGAACCGACUAAUGUUGAAAAAUUAGCGGAUGACCUGUGGCU